GCCAAGUGUCCUUCACCUUGGGCUCAGGAAGUGGCUUUCCAGCUGGCUCAGAAUUGGAUCCGAACCAACUUUGAGGUCUACUCCAGAAAGCCAGCCAUGUAUGAGAAGUAUGACAUCAGCAACGGUGGUCAGCCAGGUGGUGGAGGGGAGUAUGAAGUUCAGUUGAAGACCUUAAUAGAAAAACACUGACCUCCCCAAAAGAAGAGGGAAUUCUGCCUAGAGACUGCCUUUAGACUUCUCUGGGCCUCCAGCCUAAGGAUCUAACUUGCAGCCUUUGGACUUGCCAGUCUCCAUAGUCACGCCCAAGCCAUCGAUCCACACGUGGGACGGAACCUUGAGCCAUUCUGUUUGAGAUGUUAAAGGAAAAGGUAACUCUCUGCCGUGGUGAUCUUGGAGCCACCAGAGCGAUUGGCAUCUGGGUCACAGAUGUGGGACCAACUUGUGCCCCAGACACCGGGGCACCCCAGUCACCCACCACCACCCCACCACAUGAGGGAAGGGCUUGAGCAGGUGGCACCCGCUGAGACUAAGAAACGAAGAGGAAAAGUCCACAGUGGGGAGCAGGGGUCGGCUUCUGCAAGCUGAGCCGGGACAGCAAGGCCACGCAGACCUGACAUACAGCGCCCAGGUGGCCACGCCUCAGUUGUGGACUUUGGCAGCCCUGGU